rnacentral:rRNA from 1 species
UUGGAGGGCAAGUCUGGUGCCAGCAGCCGCGGUAAUUCCAGCUCCAAUAGCGUAUAUUAAAGUUGUUGCAGUUAAAAAGCUCGUAGUUGAACUUCGGGGUCUACCCAUUGGUCAGGCUUAAUUGUCUGCACUGGUGAGAUGGAUCUCUACCUUCUGAGGAACUUUCAUGCCAUUUAUUUGGUGUGAUGGGAAAUCAGGACUGUUACUUUGAAAAAAUUAGAGUGUUUAAAGCAGACUAUCGUCUGAAUACAUAAGCAUGGAAUAAUGAAAUAGGACGGACUGAUUCUAUUUCGUUGGUUUCUAGGAUCACCGUAAUGAUUAAUAGGGAUAGUUGGGGGCAUUAGUAUUCAAUUGUCAGAGGUGAAAUUCUUGGAUUUAUUGAAGACUAACUACUGCGAAAGCAUUUGCCAAGGAUGUUUUCAUUAAUCAAGAACGAAAGUUAGGGGAUCGAAGACGAUCAGAUACCGUCGUAGUCUUAACCAUAAACUAUGCCGACUAGGGAUCGGACGAAGUUAAUUUUAUAAUGACGCGUUCGGCGCCUUACGGGAAAAC